rnacentral:rRNA from 1 species
GACGAACGCUGGCGGCGUGCUUAACACAUGCAAGUCGAACGGUAAGGCCCUUCGGGGUACACGAGUGGCGAACGGGUGAGUAACACGUGGGUGAUCUACCCUGCACUUCGGGAUAAGCCUGGGAAACUGGGUCUAAUACCGGAUAGGACUCCUGGCUUCAUGGUUGGGGGUGGAAAGCUUUUGCGGUGUGGGAUGGGCCCGCGGCCUAUCAGCUUGUUGGUGGGGUAAUGGCCUACCAAGGCGACGACGGGUAGCCGGCCUGAGAGGGUGACCGGUCACACUGGGACUGAGAUACGGCCCAGACUCCUACGGGAGGCAGCAGUGGGGAAUAUUGCACAAUGGGCGCAAGCCUGAUGCAGCGACGCCGCGUGAGGGAUGACGGCCUUCAGGUUGUAAACCUCUUUCAGCUAUGACGAAGCGCAAGUGACGGUAGUAGCAGAAGAAGGACCGGCCAACUACGUGCCAGCAGCCGCAGUAA